rnacentral:sRNA from 1 species
UUGAUGGUUUCUGUUUCUUGCCUUCUCUGGGCCCCAUCUCUUACUUUUUCCCAUCUUCAUCUUUUUUCUCUCCCUCCCUCUGUCUGUCUGCCCGCCCUACCCCUCCUCCCCAUAGACGUGUCCGACCUUGAGAACAAUAACCUUAACCGUGGCGGGACGGUGAAUGAAGCCCCUGACCCUCUCUCCACAGUGACCAAUGCCCUGGUGGGUAUGAGCCCCUCAUCCUCGCUCUCAGCCCUGUCCAGCCGCGCGGCCUCUGUGUCCAGCCUCCACGAGCGCAUCUUGUUUGCCCCGGGCAGCGAGGAGGCCAUUGAAAGACUGAAGGAAACAGAGAAGAUCAUAGCUGAGCUCAAUGAGAC